rnacentral:rRNA from 1 species
CCGCACAAGCGGUGGAGCAUGUGGUUUAAUUCGAAGCAACGCGAAGAACCUUACCACGGUCUUGACAUCCCCUGACAACCCGAGAGAUCGGGCGUUCCCCUUCGGGGGACAGGGUGACAGGUGGUGCAUGGUUGUCGUCAGCUCGUGUCGUGAGAUGUUGGGUUAAGUCCCGCAACGAGCGCAACCCUCGACCUUAGUUGCCAGCAUUCAGUUGGGCACUCUAAGGUGACUGCCGGCUAAAAGUCGGAGGAAGGUGGGGAUGGCGUCAAAUCAUCAUGCCCCUUAUGACCUGGGCUACACACGUGCUACAAUGGGCGGUACAAAGGGCUGCGAACCCGCGAGGGGGAGCGAAUCCCAAAAAGCCGCUCUCAGUUCGGAUUGCAGGCUGCAACUCGCCUGCAUGAAGCCGGAAUCGCUAGUAAUCGCGGGUCAGCAUACUGUGGUGAAUACGUUCCCGGGCCUU